GAUUGCCAGAUUGAGAGCUCUUUCUUGAUUCUAUGGGGGUGGUGCAUGGCCGUUCUUAGUUGGUGGAGUGAUUUGUCUGGUUAAUUCCGUUAACGAACGAGACCUCAGCCUGCUAAAUAGUGUGCAUAUUCGUCAGAAUGUGUUGCUGACUUCUCUAGAGGGACAUUUCGGUUUUACCGGAAGGAAGUUUGAGGCAAUAACAGGUCUGUGAUGCCCAA
rnacentral:rRNA from 1 species